UAAUACGAAGGGGGCUAGCGUUGCUCGGAAUUACUGGGCGUAAAGGGCGCGUAGGCGGAUAGUUUAGUCAGAGGUAAAAGCCCAGGGCUCAACCUUGGAACUGCCUUUGAUACUGGCUAUCUUGAGUUCGGGAGAGGUGAGUGGAAUGCCGAGUGUAGAGGUGAAAUUCGUAGAUAUUCGGCGGAACACCAGUGGCGAAGGCGACUCACUGGCCCGAUACUGACGCUGAGGCGCGAAAGCGUGGGGAGCAAACAGGAUUAGAUACCCUGGUAGUCCACGCUGUAAACGAUGAGUGCUAGUUGUCGGCAUGCAUGCAUGUCGGUGACGCAGCUAACGCAUUAAGCACUCCGCCUGGGGAGUACGGUCGCAAGAUU
rnacentral:rRNA from 1 species